rnacentral:rRNA from 1 species
ACUUAAAUUGAAGAGUUUGAUCAUGGCUCAGAUUGAACGCUGGCGGCAGGCCUAACACAUGCAAGUCGAGCGGUAGCACAGAGAGCUUGCUCUCGGGUGACGAGCGGCGGACGGGUGAGUAAUGUCUGGGAAACUGCCUGAUGGAGGGGGAUAACUACUGGAAACGGUAGCUAAUACCGCAUAAUGUCGCAAGACCAAAGUGGGGGACCUUCGGGCCUCAUGCCAUCAGAUGUGCCCAGAUGGGAUUAGCUAG